GCAGCCGACGGUAAUACGUAGGUGGCAAGCGUUGUCCGGAAUUAUUGGGCGUAAAGCGCGCGCAGGCGGCUUCUUAAGUCCAUCUUAAAAGUGCGGGGCUUAACCCGUGAUGGGAUGGAAACUGAGAGGCUGGAGUAUCGGAGAGGAAAGUGGAAUUCCUAGUGUAGCGGUGAAAUGCGUAGAGAUUAGGAAGAACACCGGUGGCGAAGGCGACUUUCUGGACGACAACUGACGCUGAGGCGCGAAAGCGUGGGGAGCAA
rnacentral:rRNA from 1 species